rnacentral:rRNA from 1 species
UCGAGAGGCUUUGGCAAUGGGGGAAACCCUGACCAAGCGACGCCGCGUGGAGGAUGAAGGCCUUUGGGUUGUAAACUCCUUUUGCUAGGGAAGAAGUGCGAUCAGGUGAACAAUCUGGUCGUUUGACGGUACCUGGCGAAUAAGCUCCGGCUAACUCCGUGCCAGCAGCCGCGGUAACACGGGGGGAGCAAGCGUUGUUCGGAAUUACUGGGCGUAAAGGGCGUGUAGGCGGUUCGGUAAGUGGAAUGUGAAAUCCCUCGGCUCACCCGAGGACCUGCAUCCCAAACUGCCGAGCUUGAGUAUGGGAGAGGAUGAGGGAAUUCCUGGUGUAGCGGUGAAAUGCGUAGAUAUCAGGAGGAACACCGGUGGCGAAGGCGCUCAUCUGGCCCAAUACUGACGCUGAUGCGCGAAAGCUAGGGGAGCAAACGG